rnacentral:rRNA from 1 species
GAUGAACGCUGGCGGCGUGCCUAAUACAUGCAAGUCGAGCGAAUGGAUUAAGAGCUUGCUCUUAUGAAGUUAGCGGCGGACGGGUGAGUAACACGUGGGUAACCUGCCCAUAAGACUGGGAUAACUCCGGGAAACCGGGGCUAAUACCGGAUAACAUUUUGAACCGCAUGGUUCGAAAUUGAAUGGCGGCUUCGGCUGUCACUUAUGGAAGGACCCGCGUCGCAUUAGCUAGUUGGUGAGGUAACGGCUCACCAAGGCAACGAUGCGUAGCCGACCUGAGAGGGUGAUCGGCCACACUGGGACUGAGACACGGCCCAGACUCCUACGGGAGGCAGCAGUAGGGAAUCUUCCGCAAUGGACGAAAGUCUGACGGAGCAACGCCGCGUGAGUGAUGAAGGCUUUCGGGUCGUAAAACUCUGUUGUUAGGGAAGAACAAGUGCUAGUUGAAUAAGCUGGCACCUUGACGGUACCUGACCAGAAAGCCACGGCUAACUACGUGCCAGCCGCCGCAGUAA